UCUUAAAUCAAUUUAGAAAUGAAAACAAAAUGUUGAAUGAGUUUUGAAUGAGUUUUGGCCUUGAGUGUUAUGAUCAUAUCAAGCCACUGGUUGGGUUUCUUUGCAUGUAGACAGUUAAGUGGAUUCCCUUGACUUCUAUUUGACUAGUGGAAAUGGACCAUCCUGGCAGCCCACUCAGAUGAAGCCAAGAAAUGAGCUGGCUAUGCGGGCUUUGGAUCAAGAAAUAUCAAAAGUAUGGACAAAGUCUUUUGACAAUUGAUUUCAGCAUCUGUACUGGUAUACAUUGGCUGAUAUAGUAAUAUACAGCUGAGCAAUAUUUUAAAUGGUCCUCAGUUUGGUUAGAUGAUGACACUCAACCCCAGUCUCAUCCCUACUGUAUUCAGACAUGACCCAUUUCCCAAGGCCCAACGCAUUUCUGUCUGUCAAAGUCCAUCUAGUUGUUUUGGUCCUCUCUGGUGUAUCUUCUUUUAAUGCUUCUAUUCACUUAAGUCCAUUUUGCCUUUCAAACUGAAUUGCAAUGAUCUAUGUACUGUGUAAUUUUCAAGAAUGCCUUACACUUAUGGUGACCAUAUUUUCUAACCAAAAAUUAGAAUAUAUCUUCUGAAAAUUUAGGUAGGCUAUUUGAAAUUAGCUGUCCUUGGGAAAACAUAUGCUUAUUCACUUCAGUGUCUCCUACCCAUUGAACAGUCAGCAUUGGGUAUGACAAUAGGAAGAUAAAGACUGUAGAUAACAUUCACUAAGUUGCAAGUAAAAGGAAUGGAUGUUUUUGGAGUGUCUUGUAUAGGCAGGCAUAGCUUAAGUGCUUUGUUACUGUGCCUUAGGAAUAACAUAUUGGUCCAGAAAAUAAAAAUAAUAGAAGAAAUGAAGAGGGACAACAAAAAUACCCAUAGUGGGAGACAUAGUGGAAGGAUUGUAUCAUACAAUGCAGCAGGUAAGGGAAGUCUAAAAAGAGGAGGCCUUGUCAGAAAGACAAAUACAGAAGUUCUUUGCUAUAUUUCUUAAAGGUAUGAUUAGACAGAUUUUUCAACAUCUCUGUGUACUGCUGAUCUUUUUACCUUUACUCCUCAGAUUCUGCCAAUGCUUGGAUUACAGGAGAUGCUCCACCCCCACAAGUACAAGUGUGGGUUUAACAGCUUCGAGUAGAAUAUAAACACUGGCUCACUACUGAACAUUAUGUUAUUGUUCAGGCAACCCAACUUUACAUUUUGAAGGUUUUGUGUUUCAUCUUGAACUCAGAAUGAAAGACCUGGACCUUCAUCUUCACAGUCCUUGAUGUUUCAUAGGGAAUCUCUCCAGUCAUGCUGCUAUACUCUUUGAACCAUACAUGAGGUUUGAUAUGUAGAACAAGCAUUUUGGAAUUAAGCAAAAAUAUUUGAGGCAGAAAUUUAGCUUCCAAAGACAAAGCUGUUUCUUGGGCUGUCUGACAUGCAAAAAAGUGAUGGAACAUUCUUUUAUAUCUUUAGGCAUUUUUUUUCUACUUGCCACACCUCUGUCCCUAAUUUGAACCUUCAAAUAUACCUUGCUUAUGUCAUAUUGACAGGGACUGCAAUCUUCUGCCUGCAGUUUCCCUAUACCUCUUUGCCAUGAGCUGUAGAUUUCUUUCCUUCUGAGCCUGUUCAAAACCAUGGAACAAUAUACUGUCAUUCCUUUUCUCCCUGAAAAUGAAAAGGUAGCACUGCCAGAUGAUGCCAAAAAGAUGGGAAUGUUAACUUUGGGAUGUGGGUAGAUUACUUACAGGAUCAGUAAGGAUAAGCAUGUUAAAGUAAAUACUCCAAGGCUUUUUACCAGAGGCUCAUCCCUUCUGAUGUGUCAUUAGAAGGAUGAGUCACGAGAAAUUACUGUAGCAUGAUUGAGUAUUACUGAAUUCCUAAUCAAAGUCCAGCUGGGAAGACCAGCUGAAGGGAACUGGCCCAUGCUAGCAUCCAAGAAAGCUGUGGAUUUGGCAGGGUGAAGAACUUCUUGGCUAUGGAGGAAUGAAUCAGGGUUAACAAAAUGUUAUGCAUGGUUUUACCAAAAGGCUAGCACUGUAUAUAUGGCAGGCCUGUUGUCUUCUAGUGCUCUCUGACUGGUAGGUAAGACAAAGCAAGAUCAACACCUGAAGCUUUUGAGAUGCAUGGCUAAGAUCUGUUGUGGUGUGUCUUGUAAAAUAUAGCCAAUGAAUUAGAUUCUCUCUGCAAUUAUUUCAAGAUAUUACUUGGGGAUAAGACAAAAGUUAGAGUAUGUUCUUCAUGUACCCUUUUCUUCUUGGAACAGCCAUAUAUCCUAUGUUCAUGUUGUACACCCUCUUCUAUUUUUCAACAUUUACCCUACUCCCCUGACAGAAAGCAGGUCUGAAAGAUUUGUUCUUGCAGAAUAACAUCCUUCUCAGAAGACUUAUCACAGAAGCCACUGGUCAGGUUGGGACUGACAAGAUGGCUCAGUUGGGUCACAGUGCUUUAUACUAACUAAGCCUGAUUACCUGAGUUCAAUCCUUAAGAUCCAUAAUGUAGAAGGAAAGAACCAACUGCUACAUGAUGUCCUUUGAUCUUAACAAAGUGUCUCCUCCCACAAAUAAGUGAGUAAAAUGUAAUGAGUUAAUAUGUAAACCAUGCUAACCUUGAAUUUGCAGUCAUCCACCUGCCUCUGCCUCAUAGGUGCUGGGAUUAAAGAUGUGCUUCAUCAAACUUAGCUUGCCCAUUUUUUAAAGGCUGGUGCAUAUUUGCAGUUCUAUAGCUAUGUACUUCCAUCUUAGAAUUUAUAGUUUUUAUUCAUUUUGCAUGGUCUCUGUUCCCUUUAAUCUAACCUAGCAGUAUUUCUGUUGAUAUAACCCAUAGUUUCUUAAUCAAGAAAUAGAGUUCCAUUUAUCUGUAGGUAUAAGGAUAAAUAUUGAGAAUACAAUUGGAUAAUUACAUUCGCUUAGGGAAAUAGUAGAUUCUCCUCUAAGGUCUAUAACAUCACAAGCCAUGAUUAGCUGUCUAGGCUGAAAGUACCAGGCAGAAAUUCCUUCCUAUUAAGGAAACCUUAUGUCCAAUUAGAGAGCUGUUGGUUACCUCCAAGAUAAAGUGUCACUAUUGCACAACUGGAGAGAGCUUGCUGGGCCAGUCAUUGUUGUGAUUCUUAGGCUUUACAUCUAGAUAGGACUAUUGUUUGUUUCUCCCUUGGAAGUUUGCAAGCACCUCUAGAUACUAUGAGAGCUCGUCUUCAGGGAAGAGGCUUCCAGGUCAGUUCUGGCUCAUUUUUCCAAGUUGUGUGUCCAAAGUGUCUAAUGUCUUCUACAAUAGAAUCUUACCUUCAGCCUAUGGAAGAGAACCACGGGAAGGCAAUGGCAAUAACCUAAAUUGUUGUGGAAGUCUCUUGGAUGCCUAUUAACCAACAAGUCAAAGGAAGGUUUCCCCUGUUCUGCACUGUUUUGUUUUGUUUUGUUUUGUUUUGUUUUGUUCAUCUAUUAGGUAGCCUACAGCUCUUGUGGGGAACACUGCACCAUGUGUCACUUACUAUCAUUAAAAUAUAUGUAUACCUCCAAAUAUGCAUAUACAUAUGUGUGUGAUAUGAAAUUUUAAGGAAGCUUACAAAAUAACAUGCUUCCUUAUGACAUUUUGAAAUUCCUGGGAGUGUGGAAAAGGUGCAGGUGAGUGGGGGUCUAAGUAAUUUACCAGGAUGGAUUUAUAUACAGACUAUGCAUGCAAGGAUGUAGACAGAGGAGGUGACCGAGGAUCUAGAUGGCUCACUAGGCUUGGCCAUAGAACAGUCUGCUGGACAUAGAUAGGACUUCUGGGAGUAUGAAGAUGACAAGUGUAUGAAAACGAUGAGGAACAUUCACACACACACACACACACACACACACAGAGAGAGAGAGAGAGAGAGAGAGAGAGAGAGAGAGAGAGAGAGAGAGAGCAGGAUAAGCUGGUGAGCAGGCUGUAGGACCCUCAGCUAGGCAUGACACUAUGGUGAUUAUGUAAGCACUUAAGAAUCUAUGUCACUCACUUUGAGCUGGUGCAUAUGCUGCAUGACCCUAAGUAGGCUGAAAAGUUUAGGGAUAGUGCGCAUGGGUGAAAUUCUAGGGAUAAAUACAAGGCUAUGCUGAUAAGCAUGAAGCUUGUUAGAAAGGAUGGAAACAGACAGGGUGUGUGGAAUCAUUAUCACUCACCAGGAAGUGAUGUUACAUUGCACAGGUUUUAAGACUUGAGAUAAGUGUGGAAUAUGGGCACCAUGCUGCCAGGCUGGAAAUUGGGUUGGUUCCUAAGAAAGGCCAAUGUGCAGGCUACAGGUAAUUAAUGAAGUCAGCAAAUGUGGGUGCUGGUGAGAUCAUAGCCAAUUCUGGGAAGAGGGCACACAAAGGACCCUUCAGGAUAUCAGAGCUGUGUGGACUGAUGUAGCUAUCAGAUACAACCUAGGGCCAUGCCCGUGUCCAAGACCUGGAAAUGUCUGUGUUAGUUUCACUAGAUUGGUCUACAACACAGAUUUUCAGCAAGAAUGUGAAUUGCAAAUUUAGGGGUAGGUAUGUAAGGAAUCGGAGUUCUCUCUCUGCUAGCUUAGUAUGCAGGAUGUAUAAAUGUAUCUAAACAUGAGAGUAGAAUACCAACGAGGUCUUGGUGUGGGCCUGAUUGAGGGAACAAUGUGACUAGGCCACUAAAAAGGGUUGAGUUCUGUAAACAUUUACAGAGCACGUGGAUUAUGGCAGUUGUUCUAAAAGUGUGGCCCAGAUGAAUUGUCUGAAAACACAGACUCUGUUACAUGGCAAUUCAGAACAGGAGGAAAAUUAGUCAUGAAGUAGAAAAAAGAUAAUAUUAGGAUUGGAGGUCACCACAAAGUGAAGAAACAUAUCAUUCAGGACUGUUGAAGCAUUGGGAAUGUUGUGAUCUGCUGCCUUAUGGUGAUAGAAUAUGUAGGGUGGCUUGGCUGAUGUCAGGCUCAAUGUCCCAGGAAGCCCUUUGUCCUGGGUGUGUUCUAACAAUGGUGGUAGGUAUUUACCUGUGUCACUGACUGAGCUUUGGUGUUGCAUGGGCUUUUGGACUAUAAGCAGGCCUUUAUGGGGAACACAUGGGUGAGUGGAAGGCACAGUCUACCUACCUCCAAGGCUGGUCUGACAGAGAACAAUGGGAUCCCAUUUCAUUCUGGGAUGAUUAAAACUGGGUAAAAUACAGAGUUAUAAGAACCUCAAAUGACUGGCCAGGAGCACAAAACUGAGCAACACCAGCAAGUCCAGGGGACAAUGGACAAAGUCAAGGAGAGUAGAUGGGGUCACUAGACCCCAUCUGAUCCUGGGUGGUGAGGACUGCAUGAACAUGAACAGAUGUGGGACUCAUAUAGAUGAGGAACUUCCCACCCUAGGGCUCUGACCUUGGCAAUCUGCUGCAAAUGUGUAUCCUAGGCACACAGAAUCUGUAUCCUCAACUCGGUCAUGCAUUGUGAAGACAGGGCUAGGCAUGUGGAGAAAUGGACUACUCCCUGACGGGUCUUGUGCACAAGGGGUGCAAAUUCUUCUCGACCUGGCGGUUUGUGAACAUAAUCCUGUAAAGGCAGGUCUGUCUUCUUAACACUGCACAGUUUGAGCAUAGGCUGUGGACUCCCCUACCCUGCCUGCACAGUUGAGUGUCUGGGGCACUCACCUUGCUGGGCUGUUGCACAUGGCACCCUACCCAAGUUAGGUCUAAGCCCAUAGAACACUGUAGGUGUAUCAUCUCCUGGACAGUGACAAGGCCUUGCUGGUUUGUAGGCUGUGUGACCCCAAAUAACUUGGGAUACAUAGACAGCAGGUGUUGUGGGAACUUAGGGAGCCUGUGCCAAGGGAUAUUGUAUGGCCAUCUUGACUGGAGAAAGGCCUCUAAUUACGAAACCCUGCUGGUGGACAGAGGUAGAGGUGAUCCUCCUUGAGAGAAUAUUAUGCAAUCUUUAAGACACCAGCAAGGUCUAGCAGUAUGGGGCCUCUUGAGUCCCAAGAAGUUUGUCCCUUUUUGGCCUAUGGUGCUCUAAAGACUAAAUUGUCAAGGCCUUGAUGUGGGCCUGAUAGAGGGAACCAAGGGAUUAGACCACUUAACCUCUUGAGUACUGUGGAAAACCACAAAGUUUAUGGAUUAUGUCAGUGGCUCUCAAACUGUGGGUCUUAAGCCAGAAAUGAUUAUCUGAAACCACAGAUUUAUUUCCAGGACUAUUCAAAAUCAUAGUCGUGCAGUAGCAAUGGAAAUAAUUUUAUAGUUGCAGGUCAUCAAAAUAUUAGGAUUUAUAUCAUAGAGGUUUGAGGCACUGCAAAUUUUGAACCACUUUCUUAAGGUUUUAGAGAAUGUACAGUAGAGAGAACUGUGUCAAGAUCUAGGCUUGGCAGAGGUAAGGCUCAAUGCCACAGGAAGCCCUCUGUGCUGGGUGUGUUGCAACAAUGAUGGUGGGUAUUUACAUGUGUAACUUAAGUUUCGGUGUUGCACGGGCUCCUGGACCCUAGGCAAGCCUUCCUAGAGUAUAGAAAUCCCAUGGGUGAGGGAAGAUACAGGCAACCUCCCAGGCUGGUCUGACCUGGAGCAAUGGGAUCCCAUUUCAUUCUGUGAUGAUUAAAAUUGGGUAAAAAUACAUAGUUAGAAGAACCUCAAAUGACUGGCCAGGAGCACAAAACUGAGCAAUACCAGCAAGUCCAGAGGACAAUGGACAAGGUCAAGGAGGGUGAAUCAGGGUCACCGAACCCCAUCUGAUCCUGGGUGGUGAGGACUGUAAGAUCAGGUGGGGGUGUGGGACUCAAAGCUGGCUGGUCUGAUGCAGAUGAGGGACCACUUCAACUAGGCAUCUAACCUUGGUGAUCUGCUGUAACUGUGUGUCCUAGGCACACAGAAUCUGUACCCUCAGCUUGGUCAUGCAUUGUGAAGACAGGGCUAGGCAUGUGGGGAACUGGAGUGCUUCCUCAUGGGUCUCAUGCACAAAGAGUACAAAUCCAUCUAGACCUGGCUGCCUGUGAAAACAAUCCUGUAAAUGUAUGCUUGUGGUCUUCACAUUGCCAGGGUUGAGCGUAGGCUGCUGACUCCCCCUCUGCCUAGGGUUAUGGGACUGUGUCUGUCGUCGAUGAUCUGGGGUACUCAUCUUGCUGGGAUGUUGCACAUGGUAUCCUACUCCAGCUAAGUCUAAGCAUGUGGUACAGUGUAGCGGUGUCAUGUGCUGGACACUGACAAGGUCUUGCUGGUUUGUAGGCUGCAUCGUCCUAGCAACUUUUGGACAGACAGAUACCAGGUGGAUUGCAAUCUGACACAGACUGGGCCAUGCAUGGGACAUUGCAUGGCCAUCUCUACCCAAAUAGGGCCUCAAAUGUGGGAAGCAGGGCAUUCAGGGUAGGGGUGAUUCUUCCUGAUAGACUAUUAUGCAGCCAUCAAGACACCAGCACAGUCUAACAGCAUGUGGCCUCAUAAGUCCCAUUGUGCUCUUUAUCCUUCUCUGACCUGUGAGCUGUCCAGACUACAUUGACUGAGCCUUGGUGUGGGCCUGGUGGAGGGAACUAUGGCACACAACUGGUUGACUGCUGGGAAAAUCCACAGAGCCCAUAGAUUAUGGCAGUGGUUCUCAAACUGUAGUGUGUGUUUCUGAAAACACAUACUGUUUUCCAUGACAAUUCAUAACAGUAGCUAAAUUGUAGUCAUGAAAUAGCAACAGGAAUAAUGUUACUGUUGCAGGUCGCCACAGUGUUAGGAAUUGUAUUGUAUAGGGUGGAGGCACUGAGACUGUAGAGAAUGGCUGUCUUAGGCUGAUAGAGAAUGUAGGGUAGAGAAAGCUGGGGCAAGCUCUAGGCUUGGCAGAUGUAAGGUUCUAUGCCCCCCAAAAGCAUAUGUAUUGGUUAGUGGGCACAAUUUUGUUGGAUAGUUCCUGUGUCACUCACUAUGCUUUGGAGUUUCACAGGCUAGUCAGGCCUUCAUAGAAUAUGGGAAUCACAUGAGUGAAUGAAAGUCUGGCCCAUGCCCUAGGGUAGAUAACCUUGAGCAGUGGGACCCCAGUUGAUUCUGGGAUGAAAUGCAGAGACAUAAGUGUGUCAACAGACUGGCCAAGAGCAGAAACUGAGCAACACCAAUUAAGUCAAGAGAGCAACAGACAGAGCCAAGGAGGGAGAAUUGGGGUCACUCCAUAUUUUGGGUGAGGGAUGUAGUUGUAUCGGAUCCUGGGUAAUAGGGUCUGCAUGAACCUGAAAGCAUGUGAGACUCAAAGAUGGCUGGCCUGUUGCAUAUGUGGGACUCCAGCUAUGCCUCAGUCUGAGGCGAUGGGCUACAAAUACAUGUCUUGUUCCAACUCGAUUGGACUAGCACAGAGAAUCUGUGUCGUCAGCCUGGCCAUGCAUUGUGAAGUUAGGACUAGGCACGUGGAGAACUGGAGCACUUCCUUGCUGGUCUAGUGUAUAAGGUGCACAAAUCCAUCUAGAUCUAAGUGUCUGUGAACCUACCCUUUGACGAUUGCUCUGGGUUUUAACAUUUUUCAAAUGGAGCUGGGACACUGGAUCUGUAGUGGCCCUUUAAGCUGGAUAUUGCCUGAGGAACUGAGUAACUGAGGCAUUCACCUCUUUGUUCUGGUACACAUGACUUAUGACCCUUGCUUGGGCUAAGAAUAUGGUGGAUUAUCCUCUUAAAAUAUGUCUGGAUAUGUAGAAUACAUGCAGAAAUUGGUACUUGAUGGUGUGGGCAAAGGUGUUAGAUCAUUUUGGGGGUGUCCAUCAUGAAGUCUUUUUCGCUGGUUACCAUUUGCUUGUUUUCUCUGAUGUUAUUUUCCCUGUAUCUGCCUUAUAGUUUCCAGGGUUUUUUCCCUUUGAUACUCCUGGUUAGGUAUAGAAUUUUUCUUGUUGUUCCAGCGUGUGCAUUUUUGAACUAUGAAGUCUGACCAAGGGAUGUCUUUUCUGUAUACAUAUUUUUUUCCCCGCAUCCUCUUGUCUAACAGUGAAAGAUACAUUUCAGCUGUGUGGUUUAGCUAUCACAAAACUUCUUAGACAUAACAAUUACCUUUUUGGUAUUUUAUGGUUCCUACUCUGUCUUUCAUUGGCACUUCUGUUCUGAUCUCUAUGGCUCCCUCAUCUCUUCUUACUUUAUAUUAGAAGAAGCUUUCCAUGAGAUGUUUUUCAAAUUAAGAUUAGCAUGAACCCUGAAAAAAUAUUCUCUGCAUUUUACUAUUUCUGCUCUUUCUGCUUUGAUCAUUAAGUGUUCCAGAUCCAGUUUUUUUUAUCUAGUUGCCUGUGUUCUGGUCAGGAAGUCAGUCUUUUAAAUCAACCAUUUCCAAAGAGGUCAUGUCAUGUAGCUUUCAAAGGAAGUUUGCUACUUUUAUAUCUUCACCAUCAUUAUUUAUUCUAUUCAGUGAGGAAUUAUUGCAUGUGUCUUCCAUAGCUGGAUUUGUUUUGGUCACACAAGAGUCAUCAAUCUCUAUGUCCUCUCAAGCUAUAGCUGCCUUCAAAUCAUAUUGAUAUUCAUCAAUAUCUACUUCAUAUUCUUGUCCUUCCCAUAUAUAUUACUUUAAUAGCUACUAAAAUCUUCAACUUUCCCAUCUUUCAAAGGCAUAAUUGUUUUGAGUGCUCCUAUCCAUGGCAAUAACUGUGUGAUGAUGAAAAUGGCCAACAUUUUCCUAUAUACUUCAUGAAAUAUAUUCUACAUGCUACAUUUUCUACCAUAGGCAAUAUUUUUAGCAAAU
rnacentral:lncRNA from 1 species